rnacentral:rRNA from 1 species
UAGGGAAUCUUCGGCAAUGGGGGGAACCCUGACCGAGCAACGCCGCGUGAGUGAAGAAGGUUUUCGGAUCGUAAAGCUCUGUUGUUAAGGAAGAACGAGUGUGAGAAUGGAAAGUUCAUGCUGUGACGGUACUUAACCAGAAAGGGACGGCUAACUACGUGCCAGCAGCCGCGGUAAUACGUAGGUCCCGAGCGUUGUCCGGAUUUAUUGGGCGUAAAGCGAGCGCAGGCGGUUAGAAAAGUCUGAAGUGAAAGGCAGUGGCUCAACCAUUGUAGGCUUUGGAAACUGUUUAACUUGAGUGCAGAAGGGGAGAGUAGAAUUCCAUGUGUAGCGGUGAAAUGCGUAGGUAUAUGGAGGAACACCGGUGGCGAAAGCGGCUCUCUGGUCUGUAACUGACGCGGAGGCUCGAAAGCGUGGGGAGCGAACAGG